rnacentral:rRNA from 1 species
UUAAGCGACUAAGCGUACACGGUGGAUGCCCUGGCAGUCAGAGGCGAUGAAGGACGUGCUAAUCUGCGAUAAGCGCCGGUAAGGUGAUAUGAACCGUUAUAACCGGCGAUUUCCGAAUGGGGAAACCCAGUGUGAUUCGUCACACUAUCAUUAACUGAAUCCAUAGGUUAAUGAGGCGAACCGGGGGAACUGAAACAUCUAAGUACCCCGAGGAAAAGAAAUCAACCGAGAUUCCCCCAGUAGCGGCGAGCGAACGGGGAGGAGCCCAGAGCCUGAAUCAGCAUGUGUGUUAGUGGAAGCGUCUGGAAAGGCGCGCGAUACAGGGUGACAGCCCCGUACACAAAAGCGCAUGUGCUGUGAGCUCGAUGAGUAGGGCGGGACACGUGGUAUCCUGUCUGAAUAUGGGGGGACCAUCCUCCAAGGCUAAAUACUCCUGACUGACCGAUAGUGAACCAGUACCGUGAGGGAAAGGCGAAAAGAACCCCGGCGAGGGGAGUGAAAAAGAACCUGAAACCGUGUACGUACAAGCAGUGGGAGCACAGGUUUACCUGUGUGACUGCGUACCUUUUGUAUAAUGGGUCAGCGACUUAUAUUCUGUAGCAAGGUUAACCGUAUAGGGGAGCCGGAGGGAAACCGAGUCUUAAUUGGGCGUUAAGUUGCAGGGUAUAGACCCGAAACCCGGUGAUCUAGCCAUGGGCAGGUUGAAGGUUGGGUAACACUAACUGGAGGACCGAACCGACUAAUGUUGAAAAAUUAGCGGAUGACCUGUGGCUGGGGGUGAAAGGCCAAUCAAACCGGGAGAUAGCUGGUUCUCCCCGAAAGCUAUUUAGGUAGCGCCUCGUGAAUUCAUCUCCGGGGGUAGAGCACUGUUUCGGCUAGGGGGCCAUCCCGGCUUACCAACCCGAUGCAAACUGCGAAUACCGGAGAAUGUUAUCACGGGAGACACACGGCGGGUGCUAACGUCCGUCGUGAAGAGGGAAACAACCCAGACCGCCAGCUAAGGUCCCAAAGUCAUGGUUAAGUGGGAAACGAUGUGGGAAGGCCCAGACAGCCAGGAUGUUGGCUUAGAAGCAGCCAUCAUUUAAAGAAAGCGUAAUAGCUCACUGGUCGAGUCGGCCUGCGCGGAAGAUGUAACGGGGCUAAACCAUGCACCGAAGCUGCGGCAGCGACGCUUAUGCGUUGUUGGGUAGGGGAGCGUUCUGUAAGCCUGUGAAGGUGUGUCGUGAGGCAUGCUGGAGGUAUCAGAAGUGCGAAUGCUGACAUAAGUAACGAUAAAGCGGGUGAAAAGCCCGCUCGCCGGAAGACCAAGGGUUCCUGUCCAACGUUAAUCGGGGCAGGGUGAGUCGACCCCUAAGGCGAGGCCGAAAGGCGUAGUCGAUGGGAAACAGGUUAAUAUUCCUGUACUUGGUGUUACUGCGAAGGGGGGACGGAGAAGGCUAUGUUGGCCGGGCGACGGUUGUCCCGGUUUAAGCGUGUAGGUGUGUGUUCCAGGUAAAUCCGGUUCACUUUAACACUGAGGCGUGAUGACGAGGCACUACGGUGCUGAAGCAACAAAUGCCCUGCUUCCAGGAAAAGCCUCUAAGCAUCAGGUAACAUCAAAUCGUACCCCAAACCGACACAGGUGGUCAGGUAGAGAAUACCAAGGCGCUUGAGAGAACUCGGGUGAAGGAACUAGGCAAAAUGGUGCCGUAACUUCGGGAGAAGGCACGCUGACACGUAGGUGAAGUGAUUUACUCAUGGAGCUGAAGUCAGUCGAAGAUACCAGCUGGCUGCAACUGUUUAUUAAAAACACAGCACUGUGCAAACACGAAAGUGGACGUAUACGGUGUGACGCCUGCCCGGUGCCGGAAGGUUAAUUGAUGGGGUCAGCGCAAGCGAAGCUCCUGAUCGAAGCCCCGGUAAACGGCGGCCGUAACUAUAACGGUCCUAAGGUAGCGAAAUUCCUUGUCGGGUAAGUUCCGACCUGCACGAAUGGCGUAAUGAUGGCCAGGCUGUCUCCACCCGAGACUCAGUGAAAUUGAACUCGCUGUGAAGAUGCAGUGUACCCGCGGCAAGACGGAAAGACCCCGUGAACCUUUACUAUAGCUUGACACUGAACAUUGAGCCUUGAUGUGUAGGAUAGGUGGGAGGCUUUGAAGUGUGGACGCCAGUCUGCAUGGAGCCGACCUUGAAAUACCACCCUUUAAUGUUUGAUGUUCUAACGUGGACCCGUAAUCCGGGUUGCGGACAGUGUCUGGUGGGUAGUUUGACUGGGGCGGUCUCCUCCUAAAGAGUAACGGAGGAGCACGAAGGUUGGCUAAUCCUGGUCGGACAUCAGGAGGUUAGUGCAAUGGCAUAAGCCAGCUUGACUGCGAGCGUGACGGCGCGAGCAGGUGCGAAAGCAGGUCAUAGUGAUCCGGUGGUUCUGAAUGGAAGGGCCAUCGCUCAACGGAUAAAAGGUACUCCGGGGAUAACAGGCUGAUACCGCCCAAGAGUUCAUAUCGACGGCGGUGUUUGGCACCUCGAUGUCGGCUCAUCACAUCCUGGGGCUGAAGUAGGUCCCAAGGGUAUGGCUGUUCGCCAUUUAAAGUGGUACGCGAGCUGGGUUUAGAACGUCGUGAGACAGUUCGGUCCCUAUCUGCCGUGGGCGCUGGAGAACUGAGGGGGGCUGCUCCUAGUACGAGAGGACCGGAGUGGACGCAUCACUGGUGUUCGGGUUGUCAUGCCAAUGGCACUGCCCGGUAGCUAAAUGCGGAAGAGAUAAGUGCUGAAAGCAUCUAAGCACGAAACUUGCCCCGAGAUGAGUUCUCCCUGAGACUUAGAGUCUCCUGAAGGAACGUUGAAGACGACGACGUUGAUAGGCCGGGUGUGUAAGCGCAGCGAUGCGUUGAGCUAACCGGUACUAAUGAACCGUGAGGCUUAACCUU